UACGGAGGGAGCUAGCGUUGUUCGGAAUUACUGGGCGUAAAGCGCACGUAGGCGGCUUUGUAAGUUAGAGGUGAAAGCCCGGAGCUCAACUCCGGAACUGCCUUUAAGACUGCAUCGCUUGAAUCCAGGAGAGGUGAGUGGAAUUCCGAGUGUAGAGGUGAAAUUCGUAGAUAUUCGGAAGAACACCAGUGGCGAAGGCGGCUCACCGGACUGGUAUUGACGCUGAGGUGCGAAAGCGUGGGGAGCAAACAGG
rnacentral:rRNA from 1 species